CCGCACACCUCCUGGUACUUUUCCCUAGGCCAAGCCUGAAACUUCCUCUCGCGGGAUGGUGCUUUUGAAAGUUGAGGACUUUCCUCCCCGUCGCCUUCAACUCCUUUUGGAAAGUCUCAUCACACAGCCUGCUGUCCCCAUGGGCCACUUCGCAAAGGGCACAAAGACCGGAGCUGAGAGCCCGGACUUGAACGGGAUACUCACCCCAACCUGUCACUUGAAAGGAAGGAUCUCAAGGGGGAGGAAGAAAGAAGAAACUCCAAGAAACAUUCCAGAUUCCCGAGUAAGCUGUCGGCCCACCUACCCAGUAGAAGUGCCUUAGUGCUCAGGGCGCUCUGUGGCGGCUGUCUUGAAGGCAGAGAGUGGGUGGAUGAAUAGCUAUUAUAAUUUGAAAAGCAUUUUGAAAUUCACAUGUUUAACUGGAGAAAAUUUUUAACGG
rnacentral:lncRNA from 1 species